ensembl:lncRNA
CAUUUAGGGCCAUUUGGGGCCAUUUAGGGUCAUUUAGGGGCCAUUUAGGGUCCUUUUAGGGUCGUUUUUGGGGUCGUUUUUGGGGUCCCCUCACCAGGAAUGGGGCGGCGCAGUGCCUUUGGGUUCAUUUAGGGUCCAUUUUGGGGCCAUUUGGGUUCACUUAGGGUCCAUUUUGGGGCCAUUUAGGACCAUUUUGGGGCCAUUUGGGGUCAUUUAGGGCCAUUUGGGGCCAUUUAGGGUCAUUUAGGGUCGUUUUUAGGGUCGUUUUUGGGGUCGUUUUUGGGGUCCCCUCACCAGGAAUGGGGCGGCGCAGUGCCUUUGGGUUCAUUUAGGGUCGUUUUAGGGUCCCUUUUGGGGCCAUUUAGGACCAUUUUGGGGCCAUUUGGGGUCAUUUAGGGCCAUUUGGGGCCAUUUAGGGUCAUUUAGGAUCCUUUUAGGGUCGUUUUUGGGGUCCCCUCACCAGGAAUGGGGCGGCGCAGUGCCUUUGGGUUCAUUUCGGGUCCAUUUAGAGUCCAUUUAGGACCAUUUAGGGCCAUUUUAGGGCCAUUUGGUGCCAUUUAGGGUCAUUUUAGGGCCAUUUAGGGUCAUUUAGGGUCCUUUUAGGGUCGUUUUUGGGGUCGUUUUUGGGGUCCCCUCACCAGGAAUGGGGCGGCGCAGUGCCUUUGGGUUCAUUUAGGGUCCAUUUUGUCCCCAUUUUGGACCAUUUAGGACCAUUUAGGACCAUUUAGGGCCAUUUAGGGCCAUUUAGGGUCAUUUAGGGUCCUUUUAGGGUCGUUUUUGGGGUCCCCUCACCAGGAAUGGGGCGGCGCAGUGCCUUUGGGUUCAUUUAGGGUCCAUUUUGUCCCCAUUUGGGUCCAUUUAGGGUCCAUUUUAGGGCCAUUUAGGACCAUUUUGGGGCCAUUUAGGGCCAUUUAGGGUCAUUUAGGGUCCUUUUAGGGUCGUUUUUGGGGUCGUUUUUGGGGUCCCCUCACCAGGAAUGGGGCGGCGCAGUGCCUUUGGGUUCAUUUAGGGUCCAUUUAGGGUCCCUUUUGGGGCCAUUUGGGACCAUUUAGGGCCAUUUGGGGCCAUUUAGGGCCAUUUAGGGUCAUUUAGGGUCCUUUUAGGGUCGUUUUUGGGGUCGUUUUUGGGGUCCC